UCUGUCCCUAGAGUCAUUGUUGUGGCUGCUGUGUUACAAGUGCGUCAGUAGGUGGCAGAGAAGAGAGAGGCUACAACUACACCCAGUGUUCUGACCUGUGAACAUCUGAAUGAUUAGUAGCCUAACACA
ensembl:snoRNA Gm26019 small nucleolar RNA SNORA17